UAGGGAUGGGAGGCCAGGAUGA
rnacentral:miRNA from 1 species